rnacentral:rRNA from 1 species
CCUACGGGAGGCAGCAGUCGGGAAUAUUGGGCAAUGGACGAAAGUCUGACCCAGCAAUGCCGCCUGAGUGAUGAAGGUCUUCGGAUUGUAAAACUCCGUCCUUCGGGGCGGACAAUGGUGACGUACCAACGACGAGAGU